rnacentral:rRNA from 1 species
GUCUAAGUAUAAGCAAUUAUACCGUGAAACUGCGAAUGGCUCAUUAAAUCAGUUAUCGUUUAUUUGAUAGUACCUUACUACUUGGAUAACCGUGGUAAUUCUAGAGCUAAUACAUGCUAAAAACCCCAACUUCGGGAGGGGUGUAUUUAUUAGAUAAAAAACCAAUGCCCUUCGGGGCUCCUUGGUGAUUCAUAAUAACUUCUCAGAUCGCAUGGCUUUACGCCGGCGACGGUUCAUUCAAAUUUCUGCCCUAUCAACUUUCGAUGGUAAGGUAGUGGCUUACCAUGGUUUCAACGGGUAACGGGGAAUUAGGGUUCGAUUCCGGAGAGGGGGCCGGAGGAACGGCCACCACAUCCAAGGAAGGCAGCAGGCGCGCAAAUUACACAAUUCCGAUACGGAGAUGUAGUGACAAUAAAUACUGAUACAGGGCUCUUUUGGGUCUUGUAAUUGGAAUGAGUACAAUUUAAACCUCUUAACGAGGAACAAUUGGAGGGCAAGUCUGGUGCCAGCAGCCGCGGUAAUUCCAGCUCCAAUAGCGUAUAUUAAAGUUGUUGCAGUUAAAAAGCUCGUAGUUGAACCUUUGGCCUGGCUGGCAGGUCCGCCUCACCGCGUGCACUUGUCCGGCCGGGCCUUUUCUUCUGGAGAACCGCAUGCCCUUCACUGGGUGUGUUGGGGACCAGGACUUUUACUUUGAAAAAAUUAGAGUGUUCAAAGCAGGCCUUUGCUCGAAUACGUUAGCAUGGAAUAAUAGAAUAGGACGUGCGGUCCUAUUUUGUUGGUUUCUAGGACCGCCGUAAUGAUUAAUAGGGACAGUCGGGGGCAUCAGUAUUCAAUUGUCAGAGGUGAAAUUCUUGGAUUUAUUGAAGACUAACUACUGCGAAAGCAUUUGCCAAGGAUGUUUUCAUUAAUCAGUGAACGAAAGUUAGGGGAUCGAAGACGAUCAGAUACCGUCGUAGUCUUAACCAUAAACUAUGCCGACUAGGGAUCGGGCGGUGUUUCUAUUGUGACCCGCUCGGCACCUUACGAGAAAUCAAAGUGUUUGGGUUCUGGGGGGAGUAUGGUCGCAAGGCUGAAACUUAAAGAAAUUGACGGAAGGGCACCACCAGGCGUAAACGCAGUAACUCUGCGCCGGAAAGCAGCCCGAAAGGGUCGGUGGUUGCCGUCGUUGAAUGCUAGUCAUGUCCGUCCUCUCCGGGGGCCGGACUUGGCGACAUGCCUAAAUUGCGGGGAACUCGCGAAGCUUCUGCUACCAAGCCGCGCAUCGAAAGGUGCGCGGUGGCCAGGGUAAUGACCUCGGGUACGGUAACAACGCAGGGGUAUGUGAUGAUCCGCAGCCAAGCCCCUCCUGGUUCGUCCGUGGGGAAGGUUCAGAGACUACAAUGGCGUGGGUUUAGGGGUCGUACACCCCUGAGCUUAAGGUAUAGUCCAGCCCCAGCCGAAAGGUGGGCAAA